rnacentral:misc_RNA from 1 species
GAUGAAGAACGCAGCGAAAUGCGAUAAGUAAUGUGAAUCGCAGAAUUCAGUGAAUCAUCGAAUCUUUGAACGCACAUUGCGCCCUCUGGUAUUCCGGGGGGCAUGCCUGUUCGAGCGUCAUUACAACCCUCAAGCUUUGCUUGGUAUUGGACAUUGCCAGUUUCUGGCAGGUCUUAAAAUCAGUGGCGGUGCCAUUUGGCUUCAAGCGUAGUAAUUCUUCUCGCUUUGGAGAUCCAAGUGGUUACUUGCCAAUAACCCCCAAUUUUUUCAGGUUGACCUCGGAUCAGGUAGGGAUACCCGCUGAACUUAAGCAUAUCAAUAAGCGGAGGA